GCUCCUGUAGCUCAAUUGGCAGAGCACCCGCCUUGUAAGCGGAAGGUUCCCGGUUCGAUUCCGGGCAGGAGCUCCA
rnacentral:tRNA from 1 species